GUACACGCUGUGACUAGCAUAUCAAUAAGCGGAGGAAAAGAAACUAACAAGGAUUCCCCUAGUAACGGCGAGUGAAGCGGGAAGAGCUCAGAUUUGAAAUCUUAAAGGGUUUCCCUUUACGAAUUGUAGUUUAAAGAAGUGUUUUCUGUUGAGGUUUUGGUAAAAGUUCUUUGGAAUAGGACAUCAUAGAGGGUGAGAAUCCCGUAUUUGACCUUUACUUUCAACUUUGUGAUACACUUUCAAAGAGUCGGAUUGUUUGGGAAUGCAGUCCAAAAUGGGUGGUAAAUUUCAUCUAAAGCUAAAUAUUGGCGAGAGACCGAUAGCGGACAAGUACCGUGAGGGAAAGAUGAAAAGAACUUUGAAAAGAGAGUUAAACAGUACGUGAAGUUGUCAAAAGGGAAGCGUUUGACACCAGUGUUGUUUUUCUGAAAAUCAAUUAAAGAACUGUUUAUGCUAAGUUGUUUAGACUUUAUCAGCUAUCUGUUUAGUUUUGAGCUUUUCUUUAAUGCACUUUUCAGUUAACAAGUCAACAUCAAUUUCUUUUGCUGUAAAAAAGCUUGAGGAAGGUGGCUUGAGAUUCGUCUUAAGUGUUUAUAGCCUCUUGCCUAUGCAGUCGGAGAGAUUGAGGUCUGCAGCGUAGAUCCUUCGGGGCUAAAUGCAUUUGUGCUAAGUUAUAGCAUUUUAUAGACAACUUGUUGACUAUGAUUUGUCUUGUAGCUUACUCGCUUAUGUUAUUUUACCUACGCUUAGGAUGUUGACAGCAGUAUAGACUGU
rnacentral:rRNA from 1 species